GCACUGCUGAGGAGUCCCACAACAGGACGAAACGCCCGUCCAGUGC
rnacentral:hammerhead_ribozyme from 1 species